rnacentral:misc_RNA from 1 species
GUUUAUAGAACCUGAAAGAAAAAAAAUGGUUGUAUUCUCUCCAGAAUAUGUUUUCAUUGUUGUUUGGACAUCAUGAAGGAAAUUGUUUUGAAGUUGUGAGUGUUCAUGAUUGGAGAAGUGAAAAGUGACUAUAAUUUCAAAAUGUUCAGUUUUUGAGGUCCAUUUUUGUUAUCCUGAAGGACCAGUGGUUCCUGCUAUAGAUUGGAAGCACUUGAUAUUUCAUAUGUCUGGCCUUUGAAAUGAUUGUGAAAAUUGAUUGAUAAGUAAGAUUUAUUAUGUGCUCUUUGGGCAUGUGCAAUAUUUUGAUCAAGGAAGCAGAACAUAUUUUAUGCUGCUUGACUUUCAUACAUGGCCAAUAGCUUCUCUUGUUUAAUAGGCCUUAAUGUUUAGCAUUUUGGAUUCUUCGUUUAUCGGCCUUUUUUAAUCUUUACCAUCACAAACCA